rnacentral:rRNA from 1 species
CCUACGGGUGGCAGCAGUGAGGAAUAUUGGUCAAUGGACGGAAGUCUGAACCAGCCAUGCCGCGUGCAGGAUGACGGCUCUAUGAGUUGUAAACUGCUUUUGUACGAGAAUAAUAGUUCUUACGUGUAGGGUUUUGACUGUAUCGUACGAAUAAGGAUCGGCUAACUCCGUGCCAGCAGCAGCGGUAAUACGGAGGGUUCGAGCGUUAUCCGGAUUUAUUGGGUUUAAAGGGUGCGUAGGCGGUCGGUGAAGUUAGAGGUCAAAUGUCGGGGCUUAACCCCGGGCCUGCCUCUGAUACUAUUAGACUAGAGAGCGGAUGCAGCAGGCGGAAUGAGUAGUGUAGCGGUGAAAUGCGUAGAUAUUACGCAGAAUACCGAUUGCGCAGGCAGCUUGCUAAACCGCAACUGACGCUGAUGCACGAAAGCGUGGGUAGCAAACAGGAUUAGAUACCCGAGUAGUC